UAUGUAUAGUGAACUUUUAUUUGCCACUGGUUAUGUUUUGUCCCUUACAGCCCUAUACUACUGGUUGUAGUGUUGUAUUUUUAUAGGUACAGCUAUCGUUUCGUAUACAGAAAAAAAAAUUUUAUAUACGGCGAAUUUGUCGGCGUACCCGGUGAACGUGAUAUCCGGGGCGUGACAUUAUAACUAUUAUUAAUUUAUUAUUUAUACUAUAUUAUCUAAUUAACUUAUUAUUAAUAAUAUAUUAUUAUUAAUAAUAUAUUAUUAUUAAUAAUAUAUUAUUAUUAAUUAUUAAUUAUUAAUUACUUAAUUUAUAAUUAAUAAUAAUUUAUUAUUUAUAAUUUAUUAUCUAAUUAAUUUUUUAUUAACUAAUUAAUUUAUUAUUUAUAAUUAUUUAUAAUUUAUUAUUUAAUUAUAAUUAUUUAAUUAAUUUAUUGUUUAUAAUUAUUAAUAUUAAUUUAUUAUUUUUAAGUAAUAUUUUAAUGUUAAUUAAUUAGAUAAAAUAAUUUUAAUUUAAAAUUAUAACUCAUAUUCAUUUUGUUCCACUCUAACCAUCCAAAUACUAUUUAUACCUUAUUCUUAGGAGCAAUUCAAUUUUCAUCCAAACGCAAAAUUGGUCUGAUUCCUGCUUAUACCUAAACUUAUACAUAUUGCUGAAAUAAACAGUUCUUACUUAUACCCGAAUCAAACACAGCCUAAAAUUAAGUGUAAUCUACCCAAAAAUAAACAUCCAAAUUUCACAACUUUUUGCUAUUUUCAAUAAUCAAAUAAUAUAUAUGCAGUAAUCAGAUGCAUGCAAUAAUCAGUCACAUGCAAUAGAUAUUAAUUAAAGUCUUUUAAACAUCAGAUAUAUACAUGUGCAAUAAUUAAAAUACAAGCAAUAAUUUCUCUGAAAAAUGAGGGAUCCCAAAUAAAUUGUUUGCCCCUGAACUCCUGGAUUGAAUGAUGGUUCCCAAAAAAAAAAAUUUGUUUAUUCAAAACUGUAUAUAUGUUCAGCGUUUGGUUAGGGGAUAGGGAUAGGAAUAGGCCCUUAUCCCCCUUUAUACCCAAACGCUAAUUUUUUAGCCGAGAAUAGUAAUUCUCGAGUAUCCCCACCAACACCUUUAUUUUCUAUAUAAAACUAUCUAAAAUUGUUCUUAUCCCCCGGAACAACCCAAUUUUUAUCCAAACACUAUUUUUCUUAUUCCCAUACUUGUAUCUAUUCCUGUAAUAGCUAGUUCUUGCUUAUACCCGAACCAAACGGUACUAAUUAUGAAUAACAUUCCAUGUGCUGGGUUCAGAGUUCUUGAUUUUUAUUUAGUUAUUGUGAAUUGUGAUCAGUGUAUAUAUAUAUAUAUAUAUAUAUAUAUAUAUAUAUAUAUAUAUAUAUAUAUAUAUAUAUAUAUAUAUAUAUAUAGAGUUGAACUAGAAUACUAUCGGUAGCAAACGGUCUCCGUUGCCACCCAUUUGUUUUUGAUAAUGGAGCCUCCAAAUCAAUGAUCGGCAUCGUUGAAUAUGUUCUAUACUACUUGAAGUAUCUAGAAAUCGAAUUUUAUACUUUUUCGAUAUUGCUCUCUUGUCCAUCAAGUGGGCGUAAAAAUGAACGGCUGAAAAUGAAUAUCCUCUAAAAAAUGAAGAUAAAAAUUUUGUAAUCAAGAUCGAGAGUAUAGAUCUUAUUCUAAAUAGUUUAAAGAAUUUUCUAACCAAAAUUCAAUUGAUUUGGAUAGCUUUACACCGUUAAACGAGAAAAUGCCUCAUAUCUACCAUUAAAAUUACAAAUUUUGAAAACCUUUGAUCAUUAGGUCAAUGAUGUCGAAAUGAUUUGAAAUUUGAUUUCUAAAUAGUUCAAGUGGUAUAGAUCAUGUUCAACGGUGCCGAUCGUCAAUUUAAAGGCUCCAUCAUCAAAAACAAAUUGGUGGCAACGGAGCUAGUUUGCUACCGAUAGCAUUUCAGCUCAAUUCUAUAUAUAUAUAUA
rnacentral:lncRNA from 1 species